UAAGAAUAGCAACUGGCUAGCACAACAUAGUGCUGGGGUUAUGGCGGAUCUGGAUUUCUUUGUUGGGGAAGAGGCAGUGACUAGAUCUAAAUCUAGUAAUACUUAUAAUCUUAGUUAUCCUAUUAAACAUGGUCAGGUUGAUAAUUGGGAUGCUAUGGAGCGUUUUUGGCAGCAGUGUAUAUUUAAUUACCUUCGUUGUGACCCUGAAGAUCACUAUUUUUUGUUGACUGAAAGCCCUAUGACUGCACCGGAAAGUCGAGAAUAUACAGGGGAGAUUAUGUUUGAGACUUUCAAUAUACCAGGGCUUUAUAUUGCGGUGCAGCCGGUGCUUGCUUUGGCAGCUGGGUACACAACAUCUAAGUGUGAGAUGACUG
rnacentral:misc_RNA from 1 species